UUAAGCGAACAAGCGUACACGGUGGAUGCCCUGGCAGUCAGAGGCGAUGAAGGACGUGCUAAUCUGCGAAAAGCGCCGGUAAGGUGAUAUGAACCGUUAUAACCGGCGAUGUCCGAAUGGGGAAACCCGGUGCACUUCGGUGCAUCAUCGUUAGCUGAAUACAUAGGCUAACGAGGCGAACCGGGGGAACUGAAACAUCUAAGUACCCCGAGGAAAAGAAAUCAACCGAGAUUCCCCCAGUAGCGGCGAGCGAACGGGGAACAGCCCAGAGCCUGAAUCAGCUUGUGUGUCAGUGGAACGGUCUGGAAAGGCCGGCGAUACAGGGUGACAGCCCCGUACACGAAGGCACACAGGCUGUGAGCUCGAUGAGUAGGGCGGGACACGUGAUAUCCUGUCUGAAGAUGGGGGGACCAUCCUCCAAGGCUAAAUACUCCUGACUGACCGAUAGUGAACCAGUACCGUGAGGGAAAGGCGAAAAGAACCCCGGCGAGGGGAGUGAAACAGAACCUGAAACCGUGUACGUACAAGCAGUGGGAGCCUUCGUAAGAGGGUGACUGCGUACCUUUUGUAUAAUGGGUCAGCGACUUAUAUUCUGUAGCAAGGUUAACCGUAUAGGGGAGCCGAAGGGAAACCGAGUCUUAAUUGGGCGUUAAGUUGCAGGGUAUAGACCCGAAACCCGGUGAUCUAGCCAUGGGCAGGUUGAAGGUUGGGUAACACUAACUGGAGGACCGAACCGACUAAUGUUGAAAAAUUAGCGGAUGACCNNNNNNNNNNCUGUGGCUGGGGGUGAAAGGCCAAUCAAACCGGGAGAUAGCUGGUUCUCCCCGAAAGCUAUUUAGGUAGCGCCUCGUGAACUCAUCUCCGGGGGUAGAGCACUGUUUCGGCUAGGGGGCCAUCCCGGCUUACCAACCCGAUGCAAACUGCGAAUACCGGAGAAUGUUAUCACGGGAGACACACGGCGGGUGCUAACGUCCGUCGUGAAGAGGGAAACAACCCAGACCGCCAGCUAAGGUCCCAAAGUCAUGGUUAAGUGGGAAACGAUGUGGGAAGGCCCAGACAGCCAGGAUGUUGGCUUAGAAGCAGCCAUCAUUUAAAGAAAGCGUAAUAGCUCACUGGUCGAGUCGGCCUGCGCGGAAGAUGUAACGGGGCUAAACCAUGCACCGAAGCUGCGGCAGCGACGCUUAUGCGUUGUUGGGUAGGGGAGCGUUCUGUAAGCCUGCGAAGGUGUGCUGUGAGGCAUGCUGGAGGUAUCAGAAGUGCGAAUGCUGACAUAAGUAACGAUAAAGCGGGUGAAAAGCCCGCUCGCCGGAAGACCAAGGGUUCCUGUCCAACGUUAAUCGGGGCAGGGUGAGUCGACCCCUAAGGCGAGGCCGAAAGGCGUAGUCGAUGGGAAACAGGUUAAUAUUCCUGUACUUGGUGUUACUGCGAAGGGGGGACGGAGAAGGCUAUGUCGGCCGGGCGACGGUUGUCCCGGUUUAAGCGUGUAGGCUGACUUUCCAGGCAAAUCCGGAAAGUUAAGGCUGAGGCGUGAUGACGAGGCACUACGGUGCUGAAGUGACAAAUGCCCUGCUUCCAGGAAAAGCCUCUAAGCAUCAGGUAACAUCAAAUCGUACCCCAAACCGACACAGGUGGUCAGGUAGAGAAUACCAAGGCGCUUGAGAGAACUCGGGUGAAGGAACUAGGCAAAAUGGUGCCGUAACUUCGGGAGAAGGCACGCUGACAUGUAGGUGAAGCCCCUGCGGGUGGAGCUGAAGUCAGUCGAAGAUACCAGCUGGCUGCAACUGUUUAUUAAAAACACAGCACUGUGCAAACACGAAAGUGGACGUAUACGGUGUGACGCCUGCCCGGUGCCGGAAGGUUAAUUGAUGGGGUUAUCGCAAGAGAAGCUCCUGAUCGAAGCCCCGGUAAACGGCGGCCGUAACUAUAACGGUCCUAAGGUAGCGAAAUUCCUUGUCGGGUAAGUUCCGACCUGCACGAAUGGCGUAAUGAUGGCCAGGCUGUCUCCACCCGAGACUCAGUGAAAUUGAACUCGCUGUGAAGAUGCAGUGUACCCGCGGCAAGACGGAAAGACCCCGUGAACCUUUACUACAGCUUGACACUGAACAUUGAGCCUUGAUGUGUAGGAUAGGUGGGAGGCUUUGAAGCGUGGACGCCAGUCUGCGUGGAGCCGACCUUGAAAUACCACCCUUUAAUGUUUGAUGUUCUAACCUGGCGCCGUGAUCCGGCGUGGGGACAGUGUCUGGUGGGUAGUUUGACUGGGGCGGUCUCCUCCCAAAGUGUAACGGAGGAGCACGAAGGUCAGCUAAUCCUGGUCGGACAUCAGGAGGUUAGUGCAAUGGCAUAAGCUGGCUUGACUGCGAGAGUGACGGCUCGAGCAGGUGCGAAAGCAGGUCAUAGUGAUCCGGUGGUUCUGUAUGGAAGGGCCAUCGCUCAACGGAUAAAAGGUACUCCGGGGAUAACAGGCUGAUACCGCCCAAGAGUUCAUAUCGACGGCGGUGUUUGGCACCUCGAUGUCGGCUCAUCACAUCCUGGGGCUGAAGUAGGUCCCAAGGGUAUGGCUGUUCGCCAUUUAAAGUGGUACGCGAGCUGGGUUUAGAACGUCGUGAGACAGUUCGGUCCCUAUCUGCCGUGGGCGCUGGAGAAUUGAGGGGGGCUGCUCCCAGUACGAGAGGACCGGAGUGGACGCAUCACUGGUGUUCGGGUUGUCAUGCCAAUGGCACUGCCCGGUAGCUAAAUGCGGAAGAGAUAAGUGCUGAAAGCAUCUAAGCACGAAACUUGCCCCGAGAUGAGUUCUCCCUGAGACUAUAAGUCUCCUGAAGGAACGUUGAAGACGACGACGUUGAUAGGCCGGGUGUGUAAGCGCAGCGAUGCGUUGAGCUAACCGGUACUAAUGAACCGUGAGGCUUAACCUU
rnacentral:rRNA from 1 species